UCUUCCACAAUGGGCGCAAGCCUGAUGGAGCAACGCCGCGUGUGUGAUGAAGGGUUUCGGCUCGUAAAACACUGUUAUAAGAGAAGAACGGCACUGAGAGUGACAGUUCAGUGAGUGACGGUAUCUUACCAGAAAGGAACGGCCAAAUACGUGCCAGCAGCCGCGGUAAUACGUAAGUUCCAAGCGUUAUCCGGAUUUAUUGGGCGUAAAGCGAGCGCAGAGGGUUAUUUAAGUCUGGAGUGAAAGCCCUCAGCUCAAAUGAGGAAUGGCUUUGGAAACUGGAUGACUUGAGUGCAGUAGAGGAAAGUGGAACUCCAUGUGUAGCGGUGAAAUGCGUAGAUAUAUGGAAGAACACCAGUGGCGAAGGCGGCUUUCUGGACUGUAACUGACGUUGAGGCUCGAAAGUGUGGGUAGCAAACAGG
rnacentral:rRNA from 1 species